CCUACGGGAGGCAGCAGUGGGGAAUAUUGCACAAUGGGGGAAACCCUGAUGCAGCGACGUCGCGUGAGUGAUGAAGUAUCUCGGUACGUAAAGCUCCAUCAGCAGGGAAGAAAAUGACGGUACCUGACUAAGAAGCCCCGGCUAACUACGUGCCAGCAGCCGCGGUAAUACGUAGGGGGCAAGCGUUAUCCGGAUUUACUGGGUGUAAAGGGAGCGUAGACGGCAGCAAAAGUCUGGAGUGAAAUGCCGGGGCUUAACCCCGGAACUGCUUUGGAAACUGUGCGGCUGGAGUGCAGGCGGGGUAAGCGGAAUUCCUAGUGUAGCGGUGAAAUGCGUAGAUAUUAGGAGGAACACCGGUGGCGAAGGCGGCUUACUGGACUGUAACUGACGUUGAGGCUCGAAAGCGUGGGGAGCAAACAGGAUUAGAUACCCGAGUAGUC
rnacentral:rRNA from 1 species